AUUGAACGCUGGCGGCAUGCUUUACACAUGCAAGUCGAACGGCAGCGCGGGCUUCGGCCUGGCGGCGAGUGGCGAACGGGUGAGUAAUGCAGGAACGUGCCCAGUAGUGGGGGAUAGCCCGGCGAAAGCCGGAUUAAUACCGCAUACGACCUGGGGGUGAAAGCGGGGGACCGAAAGGCCUCGCGCUAUUGGAGCGGCCGAUGUCGGAUUAGCUAGUUGGUGGGGUAAAGGCUUACCAAGGCGACGAUCCGUAGCUGGUCUGAGAGGACGACCAGCCACACUGGGACUGAGACACGGCCCAGACUCCUACGGGAGGCAGCAGUGGGGAAUUUUGGACAAUGGGGGCAACCCUGAUCCAGCCAUGCCGCGUGCGGGAAGAAGGCCUUCGGGUUGUAAACCGCUUUUGUUCGGGAAGAAAUCCUCUGGGCUAAUACCCCGGGGGGAUGACGGUACCGGAAGAAUAAGCACCGGCUAACUACGUG
rnacentral:rRNA from 1 species